CGAAAACCAGAGUUGGCUCCAUGAACAGCCGAUCUGCGAAGCAGAGGCAAUUUUGAAUUGAUACAGAGACAAAUUCAGAAAGCGUAGUAUUUCACAUGCGAGGCUCCACUGUCUUCUUGUAAGAAUUCUUGUUUUGAAUCCCUCCUUACAUUAUGUAUAUUUAUGUGGAGAUUUAUUAUUCCCUUUUGGUCGGAUAAGUGAUAUAACUAGCUACUUCUGAAAAAUCACAAGAAAAAGCAAGCUUUGGGCACCCUUUCUACGUAAUUAUGUUCACUAUAUGUUUGUUGUGUUAUUUACUAUGUACCAUGCAUGCGAGUCAGAAUCGAGGUUUCAUUCUGACGCUAGGGUUUCGGAGCUCUGUUUCAAAUUGGGCUGAUUUUGUUGUUUAGUAUGGCUGAAAACGCUUGAAAGGUGUGAAUGUUAAAUUAAAAAAAUCUUUUUUGUAGGUACCCAAGAACUGGUUUUGGUCUUAUUGGUGGUUUUAUGAAGCAUUAUUCGAAGUUUUGUGUUUAAUAUGGAAAGAAUCUUUUAGUUUUUGAAAGGUAUUGUGGUUGUUAGAUAGGGACAUCAUGAAUAACAUUAAUCCAGUGAAAAGCUUAGCAGCACCAUCUGCAUUUUCCAAUUCUGGUGCAUUAACACAGUCUAUGCCCAUGAACAACCAAUCAACCCACCUUCAUUCACAGACACAACCUCAAAAACAAGUUGCGUCCACCUUUCCUGGCCACUUUCAGCUGUCCGAACCGCAAGCUCAAGUGUUAGGUCAUUCACAAUAUGCACAGGCGUCUCAUUCUCAUUUCCAAGCUCAGAUACAAUCAACCAACCAAUCCAUUGCCAAGCUGCAAAACCCUAAUCCUAGUAGUGCUGGUGUAUCAUCACCCUCUGUAUCCACACCUGGCAGUGCAAAUGCCAAAAGGGCUAACCAGAAACCACCUUCUAGGCCUCCUGGUGGCUCAUCAACUAGUAUUACAGCUUCUCCAUUUAAAACCAUGGAGUUGACCCCAGCUGCACGCAGGAAGAAGCAGAAGCUUCCUGAGAAGCAGAUACCUGAUAAAGUGGCUGCAAUUUUACCCGAAUCUGCACUCUAUACUCAGUUGCUUGAAUUUGAGGCCAGGGUAGAUGCCGCUAUGACAAGAAAGAAGAUGGAUAUCCAAGAAUCACUUAAAAAUCCUCCCCGUAUUCGUAAAACUCUUCGAUUAUAUAUUUUUAACACUUUUGAAAACCAAGUGCAAGGAGAGAACAAUAAUGCAGAGCCUGCCUCUUGGUCUCUGAAGAUUGUUGGGAGGAUAUUGGAAGAUGGGAAGGAUCCAGUACUGGCUGGAAUGCUGCAGAAACCAUAUCCGAAAUUCUCUUCUUACUUCAAAAAAAUUACAAUAUACUUGGACCAGAGCCUUUAUCCAGAUAACCAUGUAAUUCUUUGGGAAAGUGCUCGAUCACCUGUACUUAAUGAGGGCUUUGAAGUGAAGAGAAAAGGAAACAAGGAAUUCACUGCAAUGAUUAGACUAGAAAUGAACAAUGUGCCAGAUAAAUUCAAGCUUUCACCUGCUUUAUCAGAAGUUCUUGGCAUUGAAGUAGAAACCCGUUCAAGAGUUUUGGUGGCAAUUUGGCAUUAUGUGAAGACUAGGAAGUUGCAGGUGCCAAAUGAUCCAUCCUUCUUCAUGUGUGAUCCCCCCCUUAAGAAAUUAUUUGGGGAAGAGAAGAUGAAAUUUGCAGUGGUUUCUCAGAAGAUAAGUCAGCAUUUAACUCCUCCACAACCUAUUCAUUUGGAACAUAGGGUCAAACUAUCUGGGAAUUGCCCAGCUGGAACUACUUGUUAUGAUAUUGUAGUUGAUAUUCCUUUUCCAUUACAAAAGGACCUUGCUGCAUUUUUGGCAAGCACUGAGAAGCACAAAGAAAUUGAUGCUUGUGACCAAUUAAUAUGUGAUUCUAUAAAGAAGAUACAUGAGCAUCGGAGGAGGCGGGCUUUCUUUCUUGGCUUCAGUCAGUCUCCAGGAGAAUUUAUUAAUUCUUUAAUUGCUUCACAGAGCAAUGAUCUAAAGCUUGUUGCUGGAGAUGCUAGCCGUACUGCAGAAAAGGAGCACCAGUCUUAUUUUUAUAAUCAGCCAUGGUUGAGGAUGCUGUUAUUCGUUACCUGAAUCGCAAGUCUGCUGGAAGUGAUGCUCCUGGAAGCAAUUGAAUGAGGAUUUCGUCAAAUUGUCAACAGAUGGCAUGGAUUUCAAUCCUUAUAAUGCCAUUCUAGUCUUGUGUCCUUGUGUUGAUUUAUUUUGACCUGUGUAGUUAAGCAAAGGAGUUUUAGAUCCUUCUUCUCUGUGUAGGUGGGGCAACAACGUUUCAUGAGAAAAAAGCGAGCAUGAGUUAUUGUUCGGUAUUUAUAGAUGCUGAAAUCUUGUAAUGGUAGACUUGUUAUUUAGGAUUCAUCUGUAGCAUCUUGAUUGCAUUGAAUAGAUAUGGAGAUCCGGUUGCCAAUUCAUUUUCUGUUUAUCAUUGAACAUUCAGUUGUUCAAUUUUAGAGGAUUAAUAAUUUAGUACUUAAUUAAUUAGGAUUGUUGGAGUUGCAUGGAAAGAUGAUUUUAUUUGUUUUGGUAUAUAAU
rnacentral:misc_RNA from 1 species